ACUACAAUUUCACGGUCAACUGAACAUAUAAAAUGAAAGUGGGAUUUUCAGGUUAAAGUUUUUGGUCAAGGUAGUUUUUGAUGAAGCUGAAGUCAAAUCAACUUGAAACUUAGUACACUUGAUGCUUUUGAUAUGAUAUUUCUAAUCUUAAAGCCAAAUUAGACUUUUGACCUCAAUUUCACGGUCCAUGGAACAUGGAAAAUGAUAGUGCCAGUGGGGCAUCCGUGUACUUUGGACACAUUCUUGUUUUAUUUAGUUUCUCUAUUCCAAAAGUUUUAGGCAAUUGACAACCUCAGACCAAGAUAUAUAUACACUUAUGUGCAGCAUAGGUGACUUUAUGGUGCAUUAAAAGACUGUAUAUUUUAAUUGUAUUCAGUCUUGCGUUAUCAUGUUUUGUAAAUUUUAGAAAUAUGUAAAAAAAAGUUGAGUUUGGUACAUAUAUAUAUAUGUGAUUAUCUGACUUGAAACUCUUUGGAAUUUUCUAAUUGAAAGGGGGUGCUUAGCUUUAAGCACAUGUUUUUAUAUACAGCCUCUUUUCCAAAUAGCUGCUGAAGGAAAAACAAGUACAGAAAUUUGGUGACAUUCAAUUUCAUAAAAUAUUUUAAUCCUCCCCCUUUCCCAUUCUUCCACCAUGAAAAGAGGUUCGUUAAAGGUUGAUUCAAAGAGCGGUAUCUGCUCCUAAAAGUUGAAAUGUUUCGCUAUUAUUAAAAAAAGUUAUAGUCAAGGGGAGAUAACUCUAAAUUAAUUGACUUUUAAAAAAAAUCAAUUUCAAUAAGUGAUAACAUUUGUCUUUAAUGUGCUCUGGAUCCCUAUUGCUAAUAUCUAUAUGAAGUAAGUGUUAUUAUUUCACAUUUUCAAAAUUGGACAAAUAUUGAUAUAACGGAACUAGGAUAUAGUACAGGAUUACAAAUAUGCAUAAUGAAUUCCCCUGAAAUGCUAUUUUUAAGCAGACUGUAGCUUGUCCACGAACUUUACGGACAGCCCACGUAUAUAUAAAUAUACAAAUUACUUUAUUUAUUCUAUAAAAUUUCCAUUGCAAGCAUGCAUGCAGCAACAUCACUGCAAGGUACAAAAUAUUAACUAUAAUUAUUUUGAACAACUGUUUUAAAGAUUUUUGACCAACUAGAUCUAUUAUUUUCUAUAAAUAUAAGAUAAAUUGAUCUAUUUAAUAAAAUUUUAAAAUAUAAUUUCCAGGUCUGUUGUACAAUAUCUGUAUCACCUUCAAUAAGAUACCAAUGAAUGGCAGCCUCAUAUGGACAUGUAAGCCUUGUAUUACUGUCACCCUUGAAAGUAUUAGUAAGCAUGCCAAAUCUGAUGCCCUCAAGGAAGCAGAACAGUUGGAAGCACAAUGUAUUCUGUCUGGGAAUGGUCAAGGACUAGUGCAAGCUGUAGCAGCUCGGGUAUCUCUGGAGAAGACUGCCUUGAUUGGAGCAUUUAGAACUCACUACUGAUGACCUCCAUUUUUUCGGCUGGUAACCCAAACAGGAAGUUAUAUAAAUUACUGUUUUCCCGGAAUGGACUAAAUAGCGAUAAGGUGUAUUGCAGAAUAGAUUGCAGCCCCAUUACUGCAGGACAUAUGUAUAUCACGUUAUAUUACAGUAUACUAAUUUAUGAAACCACUGGAGCAAGCAAAUGACCAUCCUAGCCAGAUAUAUAACAGAAAAUAACCAGGUAAAAACUUCAUUUCUUGGUUAGACGGGUGCCAGAUGGGAAAGCAGAGACAAAAAUGACUGCUUUGGACACAUCUCUAAUUAUCUUCAUCUGCCAACAGAGCAUUUGAUAGGCCUUGGAUCUGAUGGUGCCUCUGUUAUGGUGGGAAGAAAAUCUAGGGUUGCUGCAAGACUAAAACUAACGUAAUCCUGAGCUUGUAAAUGUUCAUUGUAUUUCCCACAGAUUGGCACUGGCUGCAGCUCAGGCUACAGACAAUAUUCCAUAUUUGAUGAAGUUCAAGGACUUAUUGCAACAGAUAUUUAAAUUUUACCAACACUCAGUAGUGAAUUAGAAUGUCUGCAGGACUUAUGGGAAUUGAGACAAUACUAGUUUGACCACAAUUAAAGAUGAAGGAAGUCCUUGAUACAAGAUGGUUGUCACAUGCCUCCCUGCACUAAUAUUGCUAGUUUACAGAUUGAAGCCAGUGAGAGUUCAGUUGCAAGAGCUGCUGGCCAUGGUCUUGCAAUGUUUGUAAAGACAACUAAAUUUGUUGCAUCAAUCCAUAUGAUGUCAGACCCCUGGCAAGAUAGUAAAAAAAAAUCCAAAAAACAGAUAUAAUGACUUCACCUUAAUUGAAACUCUUGUGUCAGCAACACAAAUAACCAUCACAAAACUGAUUGAGCAACCUGGACACUACAUGUAGUCAUUGCCAACUAUAGUCUAGACAAUCUGUCAAGAGUAUGGUGUUAGACUGCUCAGGAAGUCGUCUAACAUUGACAACUUCAAAAGGGACAUAUACCAGCCCUACCUGGAAAAUGUGGUCCAGAACCUACAUGACAGAUUUCCAGACAACCUAGUACACAGGAUGCACUAUCUGUCAUGGAGCCAGACCUCUUAAAUGCAGAUGACUCUUCAUUGAAUGAAUGGGUUCAACACAUAAAACUGAAGCCAAACAUUUCAAGGACUGGAGCAACUUUAAAAUCAGCUAAACGAAGAUCCAUUAAUCAGGGAAAUGAUCUAUAAAUGCAUCUUCAAUGAAAAAGGGUAUAGAGACAAUGAUGAAGUCAGUGAAGUACAAAGUAAGUGUUGUGGAAAAGGCACAUGUCAAAGGAACUCAAAUUUCUCUUUUGAAGAAGGAGGCGUAUGUGUAUGGAAAGCUCAUGGCAUUGGAGAAGAUAUAUAAUGCAUGUUAUUAAUUCCCUUCAGUAACCAUGGUAACUAAUGUUUUGGUUGAAUAUUGUAGAGUUAAUGUCAAUCCAUUUUAUGCCAUGAAGACACAUACUAGGGUGUUGCAAGCUUGCAUACUUGUUAAUCUAUAUCAGCCUGUCAGCAAUAAAGUGUAAUAGUACACUUGGAUAAGGUUAAAAUCAGCAUCAGCUGCAUCUCAAACUCAAACAACUUUAAUACUGAGCUUAUAUGGCAGUUUGUCAGCAUCGGGAUUUACAUUGACUUUAAAAGUGUGUGCUCUCAUACAUGUGUAUUAUUACUCUGACCUAUGUUGUAUGAUAAAUCAAGUUUCCUUUGACAAAAUUGAACAAAAUUUAUUCACAUUAUUGUUUACUGUAAAUUCAGAAAUUAUUGCUUGCAUUUGUUAUUGAAAUUUUGUCAGUUUUGACUUUAAGAUGCGAUUUUAAUAUUUAUGAU